GACGAACGCUGGCGGCGUGCCUAAUACAUGCAAGUAGAACGCUGAAGACUUUAGCUUGCUAAAGUUGGAAGAGUUGCGAACGGGUGAGUAACGCGUAGGUAACCUGCCUACUAGCGGGGGAUAACUAUUGGAAACGAUAGCUAAUACCGCAUAACAGCAUUUAACCCAUGUUAGAUGCUUGAAAGGAGCAAUUGCUUCACUAGUAGAUGGACCUGCGUUGUAUUAGCUAGUUGGUGAGGUAACGGCUCACCAAGGCGACGAUACAUAGCCGACCUGAGAGGGUGAUCGGCCACACUGGGACUGAGACACGGCCCAGACUCCUACGGGAGGCAGCAGUAGGGAAUCUUCGGCAAUGGGGGCAACCCUGACCGAGCAACGCCGCGUGAGUGAAGAAGGUUUUCGGAUCGUAAAGCUCUGUUGUAAGAGAAGAACGUGUGUGAGAGUGGAAAGUUCACACAGUGACGGUAACUA
rnacentral:rRNA from 1 species